rnacentral:tRNA from 1 species
UCCAGGGCAGCCUAGUGGAAAUGGCAUCUGCCCGGUAAGCGGAAGGUCGUGGGUUCGAUUCCCGCCCCUGGAC